GCAGGCUGGUUUAUAAUGGGCACAUGCCUGGCAGGCUGGUUUAUAAUGGGCACAUGCCUGGUAGGCUGGUUUAUAUUGGGUGUUUAAAUUGGGCACAUGCCUGGCAGGCUGGUUUAUAAUGGGCACAUAUGUCUGGUGGCAUUUGAUGGGCACUGUGUUAAUGUUUGCAUAAGGCUGUUCUCUAUGUUUUAUUCUUAGGAGGUGAAUUGAUGAUGUACGUCAGAAGGUUCCUUUAAAUUGAGAUAAUGGAACGUUUCUGGAUCUCAUCACUUGAAGACUCUCUGCGCAAGGAGUCUGACGCACGUGUGCAGAGAACGAUACAUAUUGUAAAACGAGAUUCAAGAGAGGAUUUUAUGCAAAAUCACUUGACAUGUCUUAAGGAGAAUGGAACUGGCACAUUUGUAGCUAUCAAAAAAAGAAGGGAAAAUCACUUUCAGUGGCAAUGUGAAAGGUCCAAUAAACCAAAAGUUUUUUGUUUUUUAAAGGCGGUACACAGAUGGAUUGUCCGACGUGAUGGAGGAUGCAGUCAGAAUCUGUCUGCAAAAAAUGAAGUGAUUAGGUCUAUGAUUGCCUUAAAACAAUGCAGUACAGCUGCCGAGUUUGAAAAGAUGUCAAAGGAAGUGAUUGUCAAAACAGACAGAGAAACUGGCAGUUCAGUAAUUUCACAGUAUCUACAGGACCAUUGGUUUCGAAAUGUAGACAUGUGGGCCAAUUUUGGACGGAGAGUUUACCACCAAGACAGUGAAACGAACAACCUUGUUGAGAGAUUUUUUUUCAGCAUGAAGUAUCAGUUUCUUCAUGGUUAUGCAAACAGACGAGUUGAUGAACUACUUCUACUACUUAAUACCAAGGUGGUCACUUACUAGAGGUAUCUGGAAGGUCUUCAUGGUGCUCAGAGGAUUUCUGAUUCCAAAACACAGGAUGCUGCAGAAUCUGCAUUACGUAUGAAGAACAAAGGCCUUCAAAAUAAUUUUGUUUACAAAUCAGGUGGCCAUUGCACAGUGCCUUCAGAAGCAGAUAAAGCAAAAUGUUAUGCUGUGGAUUUAAUUAGCAUGAAAUGUGAAUGCGCCGUUUCUGAAAGGGGUAAUUUGUGCAAGCAUAUUGAGUUUGCAAAAAUGAUGUGCAAAGAACAGGGGAUUGAUAUUGAUGGAAUUCGAAAAGAAUUAGCCAGUUCACUAACUGAACAGCAUUGCUAUGAGUGGGAUGGAAAACACUUAAUUGUACAUUGUGCUACAUUGUACACCUGUCUUGCCAAUAGUCUUGGAGAAAUAUGUGUCUGUCUAAGACUUUCUGAGUUAAUUGGUACACAGAACCCUAACCAAGAGGUAACGGACUGCUUUGUGAAUACCACAGCAAAUUGUCAAUCACACAAUAAACAGUUGUGUGUAAAGAAGAUGAUUUCAGACUUAAAGGAGUGGUGUGACAACAGUGAUUAUAAGGAAUCUCCAGAGUUGAAUGCUGUAGUAAAACGUGCACACCAACUAGCAUUUGGACAGUAUAGCAUGGCCAGCAAUAAAAUAAAAAUUAUAAGGCUGCAUGCUUACAGAAAACGCAUUGAAAGAGCAAGAAGCCAUGCUAUAGACAUGCAUUCAUACCAGCUCAAAGAACCCCUUAAAUCGAGCUUUAUAUACCCAUAGACCUGAUUCCAAAUUCAAAGUCUGUUCCUUUAGAAAAAGAAUAAUUGGUAGCAGAGCAAAGAAUCAGAUACUAAAAUCGAGCUGAACGUGUGCUGUUAUGAGCCCACGCCUUUAUUUUUGAAUUACAGAAUGCACACAAAACUGGACAAAGUAUAGAGGUUAAUUACAACUGUUAAGGACCUCAAAGGUCUCUUCAAGUAAGAGUGAAAUAGCUAUUUAUAUGUAUAGUGGCAGCAUGUUAUCAAAAAUAAAAUAUAUGUUGCAUAGUUCUAAUUGCUGAUGAUUGUAUUCUGGCCAAGUUGGUCGAUAUUUGAUAUGGUAUGUCUCCCUUUUCUCUCUUAAUCAGAUUACUUAAAUAACACUUAAAUGUGCAUUAUUGUAACACUUUGUAAAGAAGUUGUAAAAAUAUGAUUUGUAGUAAAUAGAAAGUGCAAUCUUUAAGUAGCGAGUAGUGUAAAAGCAAAUUGUUAACAGAAAAAUCUAAGCCUGAACUGAAUUUCUUUCAAAGGGGGAACAUGUCAGGGGGUCAUUAGAGCUGAGAAGUGGGGAGGAAGGUUCUUCUGUACAGCACUUUUUUCCACAAUUGGGUCCAGUACUUUGUAUUGCUCUGUAUCAGUCUGUUGAAGCAUGUAUGUGCAGUUUUACAUUUUAAUACUGCUAAUAUUUAAAUCAUAAACAAAUAAAACAAGAAACUAUAAAUAUGA